AGGACGAACGCUGGCGGCGUGCUUAACACAUGCAAGUCGAACGGAAAGGCCCUUUCGGGGGUACUCGAGUGGCGAACGGGUGAGUAACACGUGGGUGAUCUGCCCUGCACUUCCGGGAUAAGCCUGGGGAAACUGGGUCCUAAUACCGGAUAGGACUACGGCCUGCAUGGGUUGUGGUGGAAAGCUUUUGCGGUGUGGGAUGGGCCCGCGGCCUAUCAGCUUGUUGGUGAGGUUAUGGCUUACCAAGGCGACGACGGGUAGCCGGCCUGAGAGGGUGACCGGCCACACUGGGACUGAGAUACGGCCCAGACUCCUACGGGAGGCAGCAGUGGGGAAUAUUGCACAAUGGGCGCAAGCCUGAUGCAGCGACGCCGCGUGAGGGAUGACGGCCUUCGGUGUAAACCUCUUCAGUAGGACGAAGCGAAGUGACGGUACCUGCAGAAGAAGGACCGGCCAACUACGUGCCAGCAGCCGC
rnacentral:rRNA from 1 species